CCUACGGGUGGCUGCAGUGAGGAAUAUUGGUCAAUGGACGAGAGUCUGAACCAGCCAAGUAGCGUGAAGGAUGACUGCCCUAUGGGUUGUAAACUUCUUUUAUAUGGGAAUAAAACGUUCCACGUGUGGGAUUUUGUAUGUACCAUAUGAAUAAGGAUCGGCUAACUCCGUGCCAGCAGCCGCGGUAAUACGGAGGAUCCGAGCGUUAUCCGGAUUUAUUGGGUUUAAAGGGAGCGUAGGUGGAUUGUUAAGUCAGUUGUGAAAGUUUGCGGCUCAACCGUAACAUUGCAGUUGACACUGGCAGUCUUGAGUACAGUAGAGGUGGGCGGAAUUCGUGGUGUAGCGGUGAAAUGCUUAGAAAUCACGAAGAACUCCGAUUGCGAAGGCAGUUCACUGGACUGCAACUGACACUGAGGCUCGAAAGUGUGGGUAUCAAACAGGAUUAGAUACCCUUGUAGUC
rnacentral:rRNA from 1 species